GAGCAGGCCCUCUGCAGAAGAGAGCCAGGGGCAUGGAGAGUUCAGGCCUCCAGCAGAGGGAGUGCAGAUAUGGGGAAAGCUGACCCCUGGAGUCAGCAGGCCCAGCCCUAGGAGGGGGCAGUCCCACAGCAGGCUCACACCCUGCCCUUCAGAGUUGCAGCAGCUAAUGCUGAUGCCAGGACCUUGUCCUGCCAGGAAGCCUCUGAUUAGGGCUGUGAACCAACUUCCUUUUCACAUCUGCAAGGACACUUGGAGGCAACUGCCCAAGGCCACUCUGAGGAGGGUUGAAUGUUCUUUAUUAAAAGGACUGAGGAUCAUGUGUGUUGGUGGGCCUUGGACUCUGCUCUAAGACUCAUGGAGGCAACCACUCAAGGUCACUCUGAGAAGGGUUGAACGUGCUUUAUUAAAAGGACUGAGGAUCAUGUGUGUUGGUGUGUCCCGGAGUCUGCUCUAAGAGCUGCACGGGGGCUUGGAUCAAUGCCUGAAUCCAGUGUUCCUGAGUGCAGAGCAUCUUUGCUCUGGGUGAGCUUUGACCAUCCUGGAGAAGAAGGCUGCUGCGGGGGUGGGACAAAGCCAAGACCAAUGCCCAGCGGCCAAGGCCAGCCAGAUGGCUCUGUGCUGGCAGCCAGUGUACACGGAUUUUACCUGAAGGAAAAUGUCACAUUUUCCACAGACAACUGAAGAAAGAGAGCUCUUUGGAUUACCCUAAUUGUGAUUUACUCAUUGGAACCACUGUUUUGGAUUGUCCAAAAUUAAGUCUCAAAGCUUAAAUAUGAGGCUUCAGGGAGUUAUCCUGAAAUCAGUGCUUGGUAUCUUCUUGUUUUUUGCUUGUUUUUUAAAACCUUAAUUCUCAUAUUUUUCUGUCAUAUUUCUCAGUGCCUGGUACAUUAUCACCAUUAAUCCAUGCCAGUUAUGUACAGUUUUGCAUGUUUGUUUUUUAUUUUACUCUUUUCUCUCCUUCAUUCCCUAUUCCUGUUCCCCCAUAGGUGCCCAGUCUAAUGUAUUUGAUAUCUGUCCUUAGAGCCUCCGUAUCUGUGAAGACUAGAGUCAUGCACUUCAUCACAUUUCAGUAACGAUGGGCCGCAUGUACCACAGUCCCAUGAGAUGAUAGAGGUGCAGAAAAAUUCCUGUCAUCUAGUGACAUCGUAGCCAUCAUAACAUCACAACACGACUCUCAUUUGUGGUGACCCUGGUGUACACAAACCUACUGUACUGCCAGUUGUAUAAAAGUCUAGCACAUCCAGCUACGCACAGUACAUACUUGAAAAUUAUAAUAAAUGACCAUGUUACUGGUUUAUGUAAUUACUA
rnacentral:lncRNA from 1 species